GUUCGUAGCGUUGUAUUAUACACCACCAAUAGAAAUUAACUCCUGGCUGUUAUUUUAUUAGCCAUAUAAAUAAUACAUUACCAGCCUUUCUGCCAGUCAUUCAUAUUAUUGUAUCAGUUUUAAUGUUUGAUAUUUGUAUUCAUUAUUUAAAGAUUUCUCUGCAAACAGUGUUUUUGGAGAAAUAUUCCUGGAGGAGUGUUAAACACUUACAUAAACUCUGGGCGGAGAUACGGGUUUUAUUUAGUAGUUAAUCUUUAAUUAUGGAGUUUAUUCACUAAACAAAGACUUGUAAAUCUUAUGCAGCUAUCACCAAAAUGGAUACAAUGUCCAGAUUCCUUGUCUGCAGUCCCCAGUUCAGUGAAUAAAGCCCCCUGUUUUAGGUACACUGCAUAUAAGGCGCUUUCAUUAUCCCUCAGAGCCACUAAAACCACACACAUCUGUCACCAAGAGAGGAUCGUGCAGUGUCCCCCAAUAAAUGCAGCACAAGCGAAAGGGUUACUCCAAACACCACAACCACUUCAGUGAUGACAUGACAC